UUGUUGGUUAAUGCUACACCAACGCGCCAGGCUUAUUCCUGUGGAGUUAUAUAUGAGCGAUAAAAUUAUUCACCUGACUGAC
rnacentral:sRNA from 1 species